rnacentral:rRNA from 1 species
CAGCCGCCGCGGUAAUACGUAUGUCACAAGCGUUAUCCGGAUUUAUUGGGCGUAAAGCGCGUCUAGGUGGUUAUGUAAGUCUGAUGUGAAAAUGCAGGGCUCAACACUGUAUUGCGUUGGAAACUGCGUAACUAGAGUACUGGAGAGGUAAGCGGAACUACAAGUGUAGAGGUGAAAUUCGUAGAUAUUUGUAGGAAUGCCGAUGGGGAAGCCAGCUUACUGGACAGAUACUGGCGCUGAAGCGCGAAAGCGUGGGUAGCAAACAGGAUUAGAUACCCCCGUAGUCCCUGUCUCUUAUACA